UUGAACGCUGGCGGCAUGCCUUACACCUGCAAGUCGCACGGCAGCGCGGACUUCGGUCUGGCGGCGAGUGGCGAACGGGUGAGUAAUACAUCGGAACGUACCCUGUUGUGGGGGAUAACUAGUCGAAAGAUUAGCUAAUACCGCAUACGACCUGAGGGUGAAAGUGGGGGACCGCAAGGCCUCACGCAGCAGGAGCGGCCGAUGUCUGAUUAGCUAGUUGGUGGGGUAAAGGCCCACCAAGGCGACGAUCAGUAGCUAGUCUGAGAGGACGAUCAGCCACACUGGGACUGAGACACGGCCCAGACUCCUACGGGAGGCAGCAGUGGGGAAUUUUGGACAAUGGGGGCAACCCUGAUCCAGCAAUGCCGCGUGUGUGAAGAAGGCCUUCGGGUUGUAAAGCACUUUUGUCCGGAAAGAAAUCGCGCUGGUUAAUACCUGGCGUGGAUGACGGUACCGGAAGAAUAAGCACCGGCUAACUACGUG
rnacentral:rRNA from 1 species